rnacentral:rRNA from 1 species
UACGUAGGUGGCGGGCGUUAUCCGGAAUUAUUGGGCGUAAAGAGGGAGCAGGCGGCACUAAGGGUCUGUGGUGAAAGAUCGAAGCUUAACUUCGGUAAGCCAUGGAAACCGUAGAGCUAGAGUGUGUGAGAGGAUCGUGGAAUUCCAUGUGUAGCGGUGAAAUGCGUAGAUAUAUGGAGGAACACCAGUGGCGAAGGCGACGAUCUGGCGCAUAACUGACGCUCAGUCCCGAAAGCGUGGGGAGCAAAUA